GGAACUGGGGGCAAUCUGGCUGCAACAUCUGUCACCCCAUUGAUUGCCAGGGUUGACUCACCUGAUCUGGCUGGCUAGAAGGUGUUUCCUUCCUCCCUCAACACCCCACGUACAAUACUCCCAAAGCUGCGCACUUAGUGGAAGAGGACAACCACCCCCAAUGGAGGACCAGUCUCCAUCAAGGGUGUAGAACAGCUGUGCUUUCUUCCUAGAACCUCCAACUAAGCUCUCAAAAUUGAAGAGAAAAUUGAGAUACUCUGAGAUGACAAAAACAAAGAAUUUAGACUAGAAAUCCUGCUUU
rnacentral:snRNA from 1 species